CAGGCAUCGUGUGGGAAAAAAUCAACACACUGGAUGUUGAAUUGGACUUUUCUCCUUCCUGGGAUGAAAGGAUGUUAUCUAUCCCGUGCCAAGAGGGAACUGAGGUGCAGGGGGAGGGGAAGAAAGUCUUCAAAACUAGCCCGCCAUGGUCUAAGACAUCAGAGGAGAUUCUUCUGAAUACACCCUUAUGGUUUGGUGCUUAUUCUUAGCUGGGAGAAACAAUGCCAUAUAUUUGGAUCCUGUCUC